rnacentral:sRNA from 12 species
GCUUUCAACAUCCCCGUCUCAAAGACGCCUGGAUGGCAUCGGCUUCGGCCGGUGCCGACGAGUCUUGAGAGACUGAAGGC